rnacentral:tRNA from 2 species
CGCGGGGUGGAGCAGCGUGGUAGCUCGUCGGGCUCAUAACCCGAAGGUCGUCGGUUCAAAUCCGGCCCCCGCAACCA